GCCCAGGUGGUGGAAUUGGUAGACACGAAGGACUUAAAAUCCUUUGACCCUUAACGGUCGUGCGGGUUCAAGUCCCGCCCCGGGUA
rnacentral:tRNA from 1 species